CCUACGGGUGGCAGCAGUGAGGAAUAUUGGGCAAUGGACGCAAGUCUGAACCAGCCAUGCCGCGUGCUUGAUGACGGCCCUAUGAGUUUUAAACUGCUUUUGUACGAGGGUAAACCACGAUACUUGUAACGGGUUGAAAGUAUCGUACGAAUAAGCAUGGGCUAACGCCGUGCCAGCAGCCGCGGUAAUACGGAGGAUCCGAGCGUUAUCCGGAUUUAUUGGGUGUAAAGGGUGCGUAGGCGUGUUGAUAAGUUGGUGGUGAAAUGGCGGGGCUCAACCCCGGAACUGCCUAAAAUACUGUUGGACUAGAGAAUAGUUGCGGUAGGCGGAAUGUAUGGUGUAGCGGUGAAAUGCUUAGAGAUACGAAAGAACACCGAUGGCGAAGGCAGCUUACCAAACUAUAUCUGACGUUGAGGCACGAAAGCGUGGGUAGCAAACAGGAUUAGAUACCCCUGUAGUC
rnacentral:rRNA from 1 species